AUUGAACGCUGGCGGCAUGCUUUACACAUGCAAGUCGAACGGCAGCGCGGGGGCAACCCUGGCGGCGAGUGGCGAACGGGUGAGUAAUGUAUCGGAACGUAUCCUGUAAUGGGGGAUAACCAGUCGAAAGAUUGGGUAAUACCGCAUACGCACGAGAGUGGAAAGUAGGGGAUCGCAAGACCUUACGUUAUAGGAGCGGCCGAUAUCUGAUUAGCUAGUUGGUGGGGUAAAGGCCUACCAAGGCGACGAUCAGUAGCUGGUCUGAGAGGACGACCAGCCACACUGGGACUGAGACACGGCCCAGACUCCUACGGGAGGCAGCAGUGGGGAAUAUUGCACCAUGGGCGGAAGCCUGAUGCAGCAACGCCGCGUGAGUGAAGAAGGCCUUCGGGUCGUAAAACUCUUUUCAAGGGGAAGAGGAAGGACGGUACCCUUGGAAUAAGCAUCGGCUAACUACGUG
rnacentral:rRNA from 1 species